rnacentral:rRNA from 1 species
UACGAAGGGGGCUAGCAUUGCUCGGAAUCACUGGGCGUAAAGCGCACGUAGGCGGCUUCUUAAGUCAGGGGUGAAAUCCUGGAGCUCAACUCCAGAACUGCCUUUGAUACUGAGAAGCUUGAGUCCGGGAGAGGUGAGUGGAACUGCGAGUGUAGAGGUGAAAUUCGUAGAUAUUCGCAAGAACACCAGUGGCGAAGGCGGCUCACUGGCCCGGUACUGACGCUGAGGAGCGAAAGCCAGGGGAGCAAACGGG